rnacentral:rRNA from 1 species
GUGAGCGGCAAAAGCUCAAAUUUGAAAUCUGGCACCUUCGGUGUCCGAGUUGUAAUUUGAAGAAGGUAACUUUGGAGUUGGCUCUUGUCUAUGUUCCUUGGAACAGGACGUCACAGAGGGUGAGAAUCCCGUGCGAUGAGAUGCCCAAUUCUAUGUAAAGUGCUUUCGAAGAGUCGAGUUGUUUGGGAAUGCAGCUCUAAGUGGGUGGUAAAUUCCAUCUAAAGCUAAAUAUUGGCGAGAGACCGAUAGCGAACAAGUACAGUGAUGGAAAGAUGAAAAGAACUUUGAAAAGAGAGUGAAAAAGUACGUGAAAUUGUUGAAAGGGAAGGGCUUGAGAUCAGACUUGGUAUUUUGCGAUCCUUUCCUUCUUGGUUGGGUUCCUCGCAGCUUACUGGGCCAGCAUCGGUUUGGAUGGUAGGAUAAUGACUAAGGAAUGUGGCUCUACUUCGGUGGAGUGUUAUAGCCUUGGUUGAUACUGCCUGUCUAGACCGAGGACUGCGUCUUUUGACUAGGAUGUUGGCAUAAUGAUCUUAAGCCACCCGUCUUG